CGCUAUACCUGUUCUUGUUCAA
rnacentral:miRNA from 1 species